AUUAGUACAGUUUAUUAGUUAAAGUUUCCACUGUUUUAGUGUUCGACUGCUCUGACCUCUGUUCACUACGAAUCACUUUUCUCUUUGUACAAAAUUUAUAUGACUAUGCCAUUUGUUUCCUUAAAAGUAGACUCAAUAAUGAAUCUAUAAAUAUAAAGUAUGACUCCUAAUUAUUUUUAUAUAAUUUUUAGUGAAUUUCUAAAUUCAGAACAGGGAAUUU
rnacentral:lncRNA from 1 species